GUUGGGCACUCUAAGUUGACUGCCGGUGACAAACCGGAGGAAGGUGGGGAUGACGUCAAAUCAUCAUGCCCCUUAUGAUUUGGGCUACACACGUGCUACAAUGGACAAUACAAAGGGUAGCGAAACCGCGAGGUCAAGCAAAUCCCAUAAAGUUGUUCUCAGUUCGGAUUGUAGUCUGCAACUCGACUACAUGAAGCUGGAAUCGCUAGUAAUCGUAGAUCAGCAUGCUACGGUGAAUACGUUCCCGGGUCUUAUACG
rnacentral:rRNA from 1 species